rnacentral:misc_RNA from 1 species
AAGUCGUAACAAGGUUUCCGUAGGUGAACCUGCGGAAGGAUCAUUAUUGUAUUCUAAAUCUGGCAUUUCGGUGCCUGCCAUUUACUUCAAACAUUUAAGUCUGAAUCUUUUGUUGUUCGUUUGAACUCCAAUAUGAAUUUUAUUAAACAA